UGCUUAACACAUGCAAGUCGAACGGGCCCGCCCCUGUUUUUGGGGGUGGGUUGAGUGGCGAACGGGUGAGUAUCACGUGAGUAACCUGCCCCCUGCUCCUGGAUAACUGCUUGAAAGGGCGGCUAAUACGGGGUGUGCCGGCUGGUCCGCAUGGGCCUGGUCGGGAUAGUUUCAUCUUCGGGUGUUUCGGUGGGGGAUGGGCUCGCGGCCUAUCAGCUUGUUGGUGGGGUGAUGGCCCACCAAGGCGGUGACGGGUAGCCGGCCUGAGAGGGUGGGCGGCCACACUGGGACUGAGACACGGCCCAGACUCCUGCGGGAGGCAGCAGUGGGGGGUAUUGCACAAUGGGCGGAAGCUGAUGCAGCGACGUCGCGUGAGGGAUGGAGGCCUUCGGGUUGUGAACCUCUUUCUCCGGUGGUGAAGGCCCCGCCCUUAGUGGUGGGGUUGACGGUAGCCGGGUAUGAAGCGCCGGCUAACUACGUGCCAGCAGCCGCGGUGAUACGUAGGGCGCGAGCGUUGUCCGGAAUUAUUGGGCGUGAAGGGCUUGUAGGCGGCCGGUCGCGUCCGCCGUGAAAUUCUCCGGCUCAACCGGGGGCUUGCGGUGGGUACGGGCCGGCUGGAGUGCGGUAGGGGAGGCUGGAACUCCUGGUGUAGCGGUGGAAUGCGCAGAUAUCAGGAGGAACACCGGUGGCGAAGGCGGGUCUCUGGGCCGUUACUGACGCUGAGGAGCGAAAGCGUGGGGAGCGAACAGGAUUAGAUACCCUGGUAGUCCACGCCGUAAACGUUGGGCACUAGGUGUGGGGCCCCGCUCGGCGGGGGUCCGCGCCGCAGCUAACGCAUUAAGUGCCCCGCCUGGGGAGUACGGCCGCAAGGCUAAAACU
rnacentral:rRNA from 1 species